rnacentral:rRNA from 1 species
GACGAACGCUGGCGGCGUGCUUAACACAUGCAAGUCGAACGGAAAGGCCCUGCUUGCAGGGUACUCGAGUGGCGAACGGGUGAGUAACACGUGGGUGAUCUGCCCUGCACUUCGGGAUAAGCCUGGGAAACUGGGUCUAAUAACGGAUAGGAGCCAUUUUUAGUGUGAUGGUUGGAAAGUUUUUUCGGUGUAGGAUGAGCUCGCGGCCUAUCAGCUUGUUGGUGGGGUAAUGGCCUACCAAGGCGGCGACGGGUAGCCGGCCUGAGAGGGUGGACGGCCACACUGGCACUGAGAUACGGCCCAGACUCCUACGGUAGGCAGCAGUGGGGAAGAUUGCACAAGGGGCGCAAGCCUGAUGCAGCGACGCCGCGUGGGGGAUGACGGCCUUAUGGUUGUAAACUCCUUUCGCUAGGGACGAAGCUUUUUGUGACGGUACCUAGAUAAGAAGCACCGGCUAACUACGUG